rnacentral:rRNA from 1 species
GAUGAACGCUGGCGGCGUGCCUAAUACAUGCAAGUCGAGCGAACAGACGAGGAGCUUGCUCCUCUGACGUUAGCGGCGGACGGGUGAGUAACACGUGGAUAACCUACCUAUAAGACUGGGAUAACUUCGGGAAACCGGAGCUAAUACCGGAUAAUAUAUUGAACCGCAUGGUUCAAUAGUGAAAGACGGUUUUGCUGUCACUUAUAGAUGGAUCCGCGCCGCAUUAGCUAGUUGGUAAGGUAACGGCUUACCAAGGCAACGAUGCGUAGCCGGCCUGAGAGGGUGAUCGGCCAUACUGGAACUGAGACACGGUCCAGACUCCUACGGGAGGCAGCAGUAGGGAAUCUUCCGCAAUGGGCGAAAGCCUGACGGAGCAACGCCGCGUGAGUGAUGAAGGUCUUCGGAUCGUAAAACUCUGUUAUUAGGGAAGAACAAAUGUGUAAGUAACUAUGCACGUCUUGACGGUACCUAAUCAGAAAGCCACGGCUAACUACGUG